rnacentral:rRNA from 1 species
GACGAGGGGUCCAAGCGUUGUUCGGAAUUAUUGGGCGUAAAGCGCGUGUAGGCGGCUUUGCAAGUCGGGUGUGAAAGCCCUCGGCUCAACCGAGGAAGUGCGCCCGAAACUGCAGAGCUUGAGUACCGGAGAGGAUGGCGGAAUUCCCCAAGUAGAGGUGAAAUUCGUAGAUAUGGGGAGGAACACCGGUGGCGAAGGCGGCCAUCUGGACGGAUACUGACGCUGAGACGCGAAAGCGUGGGGAGCAAACAGG